rnacentral:lncRNA from 1 species
CAUUUCCCAAUAUCUCCAGAGAUUGGAAAGUUGUCUCGAGAGCUUCCUCGGCUGCCUCAAUAUAGCGCGUGGACAAUGGUCCGCUCACCAGGAGAUCCUCCUCUCCUGAUACUAUCACCAAUUUAUCCCCCAUGACAUACUUCAGCUUUUGGUGUAAUGUGGAAGGCAUAACUCCUGCAGAAUGGAUCCAUGGGCGACCCAACAGACAACAAUAGGCUGAGAGGAUAUCCAUGACUUGGAAUGUCACUUGAAAGACGCACGGACCGACUUGGACCGACAGUUCCACUUCUCCCAUCACUUCCCUCUUACUGUCAUC